UGGGUAACCUGCCCCGAUGACCGGGACAACCCGGGGAAACUCGGGCUAAUACCGGAUGACUCCUUCGAGCUCAAGCUUGAAGGGAAAAGGAAGCUUCGGCCUCCGCAUUGGGAGGGGCCCGUGGCCCAUUAGCUUGUUGGUGAGGUAACGGCUCACCAAGGCGACGACGGGUAGCCGGCCUGAGAGGGCGAUCGGCCACACUGGGACUGAGACACGGCCCAGACUCCUACGGGAGGCAG
rnacentral:rRNA from 1 species